rnacentral:lncRNA from 1 species
CCCUACCUAGCUCCACCGUAACACCACAUCAACUUUAACCAUGAGCCACCUUCAAUUUCUACUCCCUCCUCACCAUUCCACCUCACAAAACAAACUUACGUGCAGUGAAACCCCUUUCUCCGACCAAACAGAACACUUACCCAUUGUUUUCGACCAUACCACGACAAGAAAACAUCACUUCUGCUCCUUCACAUCUCCAUGCACACCACCAUACAAUUCCUAACCUCCAUGUAAG